AACUUGACGGGUAAAAACUUACUUGAUCUCUGAAAACCCUAAUCAACACCAUCUCUCAGAUGAGCAAUUUCAACAACGCUCUUCUGAGAUUCUCCACAAACCUCUAGUUCCUCAUGCCGCCAUCUUCCCUUCUACUUUUGAUCUUUUUCAUAGAAAUUUCAUGGUCGAGUUUGGAGCUAUGUACAGACACCAUUGAUCUCUUCAGAUCUCUCUGUUUGGUACCCGUUAUGGUGCCAGUCUGUGAAAGCAGAUUAAGAAAAUGGAGGUUAGCCAGCAUAGCAAGUACUUCUGCGAGUUUUGUGG